AUUUUGUUUAUAUAUCAGUCCGACGUGUACGUCUUACUUCCCGGCUUGUUUAACGCGUUUGUAUUUUAAUUUCAUAAGUAUUCUUAACGUACUGUUCAUUGCAUGACCAAUCAGUGCACAUGUGUAACUGUAAAAUAAUUGCCAUCAAUUCAUCGUAGUUGUAAAUUCACCGUACGGGUGAACGCUGUUAACCGGACCCCGUAAAUUGAUCGGCAUCUAAUUAUAUUUGUGAUUUCUGUGUGUUCAUGCAGAACCUGCUCUGUGAUGAACAUAAUAUUUUCACACCUCUAUAUUUUGAAUAAGAAAAUGACCGUGCUUAGAAUCGCGGUGAAAAUUGGACAAGUCAAGACUAACUUGUCAGUAAACUAUAUAUGGCUCUAUAUCAUAUUUAGUUUGGCAAAAUCAUCAGAACAUUUGAAUAAAAUAUAGUUAAAGACAAAAUCUGAUACAUAUCUCUCAUUAAAACUUGUUUAAUUUCAUUAAACAUUUGUAAACAAACGGUCGGCCAUUUUUUUUUGGUUAAUCACGUGUUACAAAUACAAUUCGCCAAUACUUUGUCGUAUUUAACCAGGAAAUACUGACUCCGACAGUUCUUGUUUAAAAUAAAUAUACAUGUUAAAAGUAUACUAUUCGGUAAAAAAUGAUAAUUUUGAUUAAACAUUAUUCAUUUUAAACUAUCCCAAGAUGCACUUUUUCAAGAUUUAGCGGGUUCUGAUUGGUCAGUAUUGGCGCACUUUAUGAUUCCGAGCGAAGGUUAAAAUGGACAAGAAGGUGCUGUUGUAAAAUGGAGAAUUGAGAAGCAUUAAUAGCCUCUACAACAAGGAGAUAAUGCAGGAACGAAGAACUCAUGUCAAGCAUUGACAGCAUACAAAGUCAAUGUUUCCGGUGAUUAGUUGCAUCCUCUGUUCGGUGAUUCGGGUGAAUGUUUUGACCAGCUGGACGAUGUGAACGCAAGAUAAAUAGAACAGACAUAAAGUACAGCCCAGUGAAAGGAACAAGUUCAUCGCAAGAAGAAGAAUUUUAAUGCUAACACUGUCCAGAACUACUAAGUCUGCUGUAGCCAUGAUGUGAUCAUAUGAGUGCUUCACUGGUCUGGGCAAUGCUCGAAAGUCCCCCAAAAAGGCCUACUUCCAUAAACUACGACUCGGGUUACAUCAACAACAGCCAAGGACACUCCUUAUUGAUUCGAAUGGACACAUCUUUACGACCCGACUAAACCUCUGCAGAACAAGACUUUUUAACUGUAAAGUAUUCUCAUUUCAAAAAACCUAUAAACUAUAAAAGUACUUUUUUUAUAUGAUCAAAUACCAGUAUAUUACAAUGUCUGUCUGUAAGCUAGAAUCUUAGAAAAUCACAUGGUUUUGACAUAUUAAAUGAUUGAUUAGACCUUGCAGAUAUUAACUUUCAUUUUCUUAAAUAAUUUGUUAUAUUUGAAAAUAUUGCAUAAAAUAUUAGACUCCAUUUAACAUAUAUCCUCACACCUCCAAGUUGAUAAGUGUUAACUACUUUUUUUUCCAUUUUCUUUGUUUAAACAUUUAUUGAUAAUUUAGUUUUUAUUUGCAGCAAUAUAUGAAAAAUUAAGAAACCAAUCUUAAAUGUAAAAACACUGCAUUAGGAGAUGAAUAUAUGGGUCAUAGAAAUGAUA